rnacentral:rRNA from 1 species
GACGUAGGGCGCGAGCGUUGUCCGGAUUUAUUGGGCGUAAAGAGCUCGUAGGCGGCUCGUUGCGUCGGCUGUGAAAACCCGCAGCUCAACUGUGGGCUUGCAGCUGAUACGGGCGGGCUGGGAUUCGGUAGGGGAGACUGGAAUUCCUGGUGUAGCGGUGAAAUGCGCAGAUAUCAGGAGGAACACCGGUGGCGAAGGCGGGUCUCUGGUACAUGACUGACGCUGAGACGCGAAAGCGUGGGUAGCAAACAGG